UCUCACAACUUGUGAUGUACCCAGGCUGCAGUCUUCCACUAUGGAUCAAUAAGCUUGAUUGCCGAGCCUUGCCGGACAGCGCAUCUGCACGCCAUGAAGGUUGCCAAAGAGGCCGGCGCGCUUCUCUCGUAUGACCCGAACCUGAGGGAGGCAUUGUGGCCAUCCCUUGAGGAGGCUCGCACUAAGAUCUUGAGCAUCUGGGACCAGGCAGACAUUGUCAAGGUCAGCGAGGUCGAGCUCAAGGACACAACGGCAGCAGCAGCAGCAAGGUUCGCCCCGCCUCUCGAUUUCAUCUUCUUCCACUCCAUUGCCUGCUGAUGCUCGUGGACUCCUUCUUCUACAACUUCUCAUCAUCUCCAAUUGAUGUGUGCUCGUAUUGUGUCAAGGAAAGUAAUUCAAGGCCAUGGGAGCUGCUUCUAGUGUAGGACGUGCUGGACCUGCUGCUGCUGCCGGUUGUGUUACCCGACCAAGUCCCCAAGCUGCAUCCUGCUGCUCCUGCCCCGGCCGUCCUCAACUUGCUCCUGGACAGCUACCGCAGAGGAGGUAUGGCUGCCGCGCAAUGAUGCUGGAGACUGUUGCCGCAGUGCUGGGGAUGGAGACAGAUUGCAUUGGAAAUAUUCUGUUAUUCCUUGCCUAAUGUUCUUGUUGCUGAUAAUAGGGCAUGUAGAUAGCAAGUUAUUUUCCUAGUGGUUACUUAUGCUUAUUGUGUAUCACAUUUAAAAAGAAAAUGCACAAUGUGCUUGUUUGAUCUUUUUUAUGCUUAUGUAUGCUUGAUCAGGGUAGUUCUUUUUUAAUUUGAUGACAAUGAACCAAUAUAACCAGUCAUCAGUAGCUAGUGUGCAUUGCCAAGUACAACAGUUCUACAUUGUAUGGAAUCAUCUAUAGAUUUUAUUUAUCGAUAUGGGUUAACUCA